UUGUGUGGAGGGGAAGAGAAAAUGAACAAUGAUGAGUAUAUUGUGCAUAGAAGGAUGUGAUGAGAAAUUAUGAUAAGUAUAUUAUGUGUGGUGGUUGGAGGGGGUGAGGCAGGGAUUAUGAAAAGUUUUGUAUGCGUGAAGGGGAGCAGAAAUUAUGAUAGUGCAGUGUGUAAGGGCGGGGAGGGGGCAAAAAUGAUGAUUUGUGUAUGUAUUUUGUUUACUUUGCGUACUUUUAUGUUCUGUUCUCAGUCAGAAUUGAAUUGACAUAAGACUUGUUCUGAAAAAAGUGUUUAGAUAUUCAUAGAAGCUGAAAACACCAUUUCUGAAGAAGAUAUGUGAUAAUCCGAUAUGCAUGAGCUAUAUUAUAACCCAGUAUUAAAGACAUUUCCUUUUAUAUUUUGAUAAAAUACUUAUUCAAUUUUAUAUUACAGCGUUCAUCAGCUGCAUUAUUUGUGUCGUAUUUUGUACAGAAGGAGUGUUUUCUGCAUGUCCUGUCGGAUCCACAGCAAACAGCGGCCAUUGCUUUAUUGCAUCUUUACAAACUGUUAAAUAUCAACAUGCUCAGAUGUAUUGCUUGGGAUAUGGUUGUAAAGUUGCUGUUCCUAGUGCAAGUCUUAAAUCAGCCCUGCAAAGUUUUGGGAAUGCAAACAGCUUGUCAAACGUUUGGUGCGGGCUCCUGGACGCUAUGUCUGAAGGUACUUUUGUUGAGGCACCUUUGGGGACAGAAUUUACAGACACGGUUUGGGCUUCUGGCAAGCCAAGUGUAAGCACGAACAGUAACUGUGUGCGGAUAAGCAGCUUGUCCACCUGGGAGAUGACUGAUGUCAGUUGUACCGGCAAAAACAAUUUUAUCUGCGACUGUGGUCCAGAAAGUUAACUCACCUCAGCAGAAAAACUAGUCGUGCAGGAACAUCAAAAGCAUGGUGAAAAAGAAAUAUAAAAGUCGGUUCAAAGUUUGAAUUGUUAAAAUCUUGAAUAAAGUUUUAUAUCUUUACUGU
rnacentral:lncRNA from 1 species